rnacentral:lncRNA from 1 species
AACUUUCGAAGCCCACUAAUGUUUCCACUACCUGAAGAAGAAAUACCUUCAACCGCCACAUAAAUGCCACCUAUUGCACAGUUACCCACUACCAACCUUUAUAAAUAACAGUCUCAAUUUUUCCUCUUCAUUCCUUCCAAGUUCAAGCAUUCACAUAAAAACCUUCUUUUUCAAAAGCUUUAGAAACAUAAAUAAUGGUUGCUUUUACUUCAAC